rnacentral:lncRNA from 1 species
GCAGAAUACCACGUUACAUCCUGAUACACCUGCCUUCACACUUCCUGCUCAAACCAACCCAAGGAGAGGAGAAAUCUUCCACAUAGCAAUCAUUGCCACUAAAUACACACCCUUGUGAAAACUGGCUUGUGAGUAAGCAUGGCAAUGUCCUAUCUGAAGACAAACAAGUUGAAAGGUCCAGGUUGCUUGGGUUUGUUUUGCUUUUCAAGGAGGGAAAGGAGUUUCAUUUUCAACCUAUGUCCUUAUGUCAAAUCUGGGGGUCAGAAAGAGAACCCGUGGCCUGAUUCAAUCUGAAACCACUUGGAGGGACAAGGAAAACGUGCAGCCAAGGAAAUUCAAAGUGAAGUGUGCUUUGUAUCAUUAUUAUUUUUUUUUUUUUUUCCAUUUCCUUUGAAGAAAAGCACGGCACGGUGGGCACGGUCAGAUGGCAGAGCUACAGCAGCAGUUUGGGCACUGGGGGAUGUUCCCACCACCCCAAUGGUAAUAUCACCCUCUCCUUGCCAUGCUGCUGAUGGGAAAGGAUCCUGGAUCCUGAGCCCCUGGCACAGCAAUAGGAAGGGGAUCCUGGUCUUUAUUCCUCACAAAUCAAUCUUGCAAAGAGAGAGAGAGAUGCCAACAGGAGAAGAAAAGCGCUAUUAAUGCAGCAGCCCAACCAAUAUCCAGCAAGGCAGGGGCACCAGGUGACGACGGAAGGGAAUGGGAUGAUCAAAAUAUCGAGAGAGCUUAACCCAAGCAAGCAGAGGAUUUAAUAAACUCCUGGCCUAGCCCGCUGCCUGCA